AUGCAAGUCGAGCGGGCGUAGCAAUACGUCAGCGGCAGACGGGUGAGUAACGCGUGGGAACGUACCUUUUGGUUCGGAACAACCCAGGGAAACUUGGGCUAAUACCGGAUAAGCCCUUACGGGGAAAGAUUUAUCGCCGAAAGAUCGGCCCGCGUCUGAUUAGCUAGUUGGUGAGGUAAUGGCUCACCAAGGCGACGAUCAGUAGCUGGUCUGAGAGGAUGAUCAGCCACAUUGGGACUGAGACACGGCCCAAACUCCUACGGGAGGCAGCAGUGGGGAAUAUUGGACAAUGGGCGCAAGCCUGAUCCAGCCAUGCCGCGUGAGUGAUGAAGGCCCUAGGGUUGUAAAGCUCUUUUGUGCGGGAAGAUAAUGACGGUACCGCAAGAAUAAGCCCCGGCUAACUUCGUGCCAGCAGCCGCGGUAAUACGAAGGGGGCUAGCGUUGCUCGGAAUCACUGGGCGUAAAGGGUGCGUAGGCGGGUCUUUAAGUCAGGGGUGAAAUCCUGGAGCUCAACUCCAGAACUGCCUUUGAUACUGAAGAUCUUGAGUUCGGGAGAGGUGAGUGGAACUGCGAGUGUAGAGGUGAAAUUCGUAGAUAUUCGCAAGAACACCAGUGGCGAAGGCGGCUCACUGGC
rnacentral:rRNA from 1 species